AGUGAACGCUGGCGGUAGGCCUAACACAUGCAAGUCGAACGGCAGCACAGUAAGAGCUUGCUCUUACGGGUGGCGAGUGGCGGACGGGUGAGGAAUACAUCGGAAUCUACUUUUUCGUGGGGGAUAACGUAGGGAAACUUACGCUAAUGCCGCAUACGACCUACGGGUGAAAGCAGGGGAUCUUCGGACCUUGCGCGAUUGAAUGAGCCGAUGUCGGAUUAGCUAGCUGGCGGGGUAAAGGCCCACCAAGGCGACGAUCCGUAGCUGGUCUGAGAGGAUGAUCAGCCACACUGGAACUGAGACACGGUCCAGACUCCUACGGGAGGCAGCAGUGGGGAAUAUUGGACAAUGGGCGCAAGCCUGAUCCAGCCAUACCGCGUGGGUGAAGAAGGCCUUCGGGUUGUAAAGCCCUUUUGUUGGGAAAGAAAAGCAGCAGGUUAAUACCCCGCUGUUCUGACGGUACCCAAAGAAUAAGCACCGGCUAACUUCGUG
rnacentral:rRNA from 1 species